GGCUGUUCCCCUCUGGAGGUUUUUUAACCUUCACACUUCAGGCCUCGGGCAUUCCGGGGCCUUUUUUUUGCUUAGCA
rnacentral:misc_RNA from 1 species